AGAAGAGAAGGGAGUCAGACCCUCUGAGCAAAGGGGAAGUUGCUGCGCUCUGCUCGGUGUCGUGGCCUCGCAGAUGAUUCUGGCUGUGACUCAGUCACUGACACUGAGCCUGAGGACGAGAAGGUUGUUUCCUACUCGAAGCAGCAGAACCUGCCGACGGUGACUUCACCUGGGAACCUGAUGGUGGUGCAGCCGGACCGCAUUCGCUGUGGGGCAGAAACCACUGUCUAUGUUAUUGUGAGAUGUAAGUUGGAUGACAGGGUGGCGACAGAAGCAGAGUUUUCUCCUGAGGAUUCUCCCUCUGUAAGGAUGGAAGCCAAGCUGGAGAAUGAGUACACCAUUUCCGUGAAGGCUCCCAACCUUUCAUCUGGGAACGUUUCUCUGAAGAUAUAUUCUGGAGACUUAGUGGUGUGUGAAACCGUUAUCAGCUAUUAUACUGACAUGGAAGAAAUUGGGAAUUUAUUGUCCAAUGCCGCGAAUCCUGUGGAAUUCAUGUGUCAGGCCUUUAAAAUUGUGCCCUACAACACAGAGACCCUUGAUAAACUGCUAACCGAAUCCCUGAAGAACAAUAUCCCUGCAAGCGGACUGCACCUCUUUGGAAUCAACCAGCUGGAAGAAGAAGAUAUGAUGACAAAUCAGAGGGAUGAAGAGCUGCCCACUCUGUUGCAUUUUGCUGCGAAGUAUGGACUGAAGAACCUCACUGCCUUGUUGCUCACCUGCCCAGGAGCCCUGCAGGCGUACAGCGUGGCCAACAAGCAUGGCCACUACCCCAACACCAUCGCUGAGAAACACGGCUUCAGGGACCUGCGGCAGUUCAUCGACGAGUAUGUGGAAACGGUGGACAUGCUCAAGAGUCACAUUAAAGAGGAACUGAUGCACGGGGAGGAGGCUGAUGCUGUGUACGAGUCCAUGGCCCACCUUUCCACAGACCUGCUUAUGAAAUGCUCGCUCAACCCCGGCUGUGACGAGGAUCUCUAUGAGUCCAUGGCUGCCUUUGUCCCAGCUGCCACUGAAGACCUCUAUGUUGAAAUGCUUCAGGCCAGUACAUCUAACCCAAUCCCUGGAGAUGGUUUCUCUCGGGCCACUAAGGACUCUAUGAUCCGCAAGUUUUUAGAAG
rnacentral:sRNA from 1 species